rnacentral:rRNA from 1 species
AUGCAGUACAUUCAAGACCUCGGCAGCAAGGUCUGUUUUGCUUCUGUUGCCCAUCCCAGAAGUAACGGCCAGGCCGAAAGGGAAAAUGCAGAAGUGCUGCGAGGCCUCAAGACUAGGACUUUUGACAAGCUGCACAAGUGCGGAAGGCGCUGGGUUGAUGAGUUGCCAACAGUUCUUUGGUCGAUCAGAACGACGCCAAAUCGAGCUACUGGCCAGACACCAUUUGCCCUGGUUUAUGGGGCAGAGGUAGUUCUCCCCACAGAACUCAUAUACGGGUCACCUCGAGUGCUCGCAGCAAGAGCAGUUGCGCCAAGAAGAUGCAACGCUCCUUGA